rnacentral:rRNA from 1 species
UACAGAGGUCCCGAGCGUUGUUCGGAUUUAUUGGGCGUAAAGGGUGCGUAGGCGGCGGAGUAAGUUGGGUGUGAAAUCCCGGGGCUCAACCUCGGAAUGGCAUUCAAUACUGCUUCGCUAGAGUACUGGAGAGGAGGCUGGAAUUUACGGUGUAACAGUGAAAUGCGUAGAUAUCGUAAGGAAGGCCGGUGGCGAAAGCGAGCCUCUGGACAGUUACUGACGCUGAUGCACGAAGGCCAGGGGAGCAAACAGG